CCCUUAGAUGUUCUGGGCUGCACACGUGCUACACUGGCAGGUUCAGCGAGCUUCAUGCCCUGAUCUGAAAGGAAUGGGAAAUCUUUUCAAAACCUGCCGUGCUUGGGAUAGAUGUUUGCAAUUAUUCAUCUUCAACGAGGAUUGCCUUGUAAGCGCACGUCAUCAGCGUGCAUUGAAUACGACCCUGUAUUCUGUACACACCGCCCGUCGCUCCUACCGAUUGAAGUUUGCGGUGAGUUGACAGGAGGAUUUUUUUGAAACUGGUUCGCCAGUGGAUUUUAGAUCCAAAUGCCAACGAAUCGAUGGCUUUAGAGGAAGGAGAAGUCGUAACA
rnacentral:rRNA from 1 species